rnacentral:rRNA from 1 species
AUUAGAUCAAGACUAACCGGCUUCGGCCGUUAACUUGGUGACUCUGAAUAACUCAGCUGAUCGCACGGUCUAGUGCCGGCGACAUAUCUUUCAAGUGUCUACCUUAUCAACUGUCGAUGGUAGUUUAUGUGACUACCAUGGUUGUAACGGGUAACGGAGAAUCAGGGUUUGACUCCGGAGAGGGAGCCUGAGAAACGGCUACCACUUCCAAGGAAG